rnacentral:lncRNA from 1 species
UGUACUUUAUCUGUGAAAAUACAUGCAUCUAAUUGCAUCUAUCUCUAUAGAUUUUUAGGAUGCUCACUUUAUGUCUUUGACAGAGAAAUCUAUAUUCAACCAUAUUUUAAUUGAUGCCAGUAUUGGAUACUCCCACUGACCCUUUUAAAAUCUAUAAUUUCUCAAAUCUGAUCAAAUAAUUUGAUCAUAUCAUUGAAAUGAAUGUUCCA